rnacentral:rRNA from 1 species
CUGACACAGGGAGGUAGUGACAAGAAAUAACAAUACAGGGCAUCCAUGUCUUGUAAUUGGAAUGAGUAGAAUUUAAAACCCUUUACGAGUAUCGAUUGGAGGGCAAGUCUGGUGCCAGCAGCCGCGGUAAUUCCAGCUCCAAUAGCGUAUAUUAAAGUUGUUGCAGUUAAAAAGCUCGUAGUUGGAUUUCUGGUGGGGGUGUUUGGCCGGCUCAAUGAGUUUUGCGCCUAUACGUCUCCGCCAUCCUUGGGGAAAACUUGCUUGGCAUUAGGUUGUCGAGUUUGGGAUCCCCAUCGUUUACUGUGAAAAAUUAGAGUGUUCAAAGCAGGCUUAUGCCGUUGAAUACAUUAGCAUGGAAUAAUAAGAUAGGACCUUGGUACUAUUUUGUUGGUUUGCGUACCUAGGUAAUGAUUUAAUAGGGACAGUUGGGGGUAUUCGUAUUCAAUUGUCAGAGGUGAAAUUCUUGGAUUUAUGGAAGACGAACUACUGCGAAAGCAUUUACCAAGG